GAUGAAGAACGUAGCGAAAUGCGAUAAGUAGUGUGAAUUGCAGAAUUCAGUGAAUCAUCGAAUCUUUGAACGCACAUUGCGCCCCUUGGUAUUCCAUGGGGCAUGCCUGUUCGAGCGUCAUUUGUACCUUCAAGCUUUGCUUGGUGUUGGGUGUUUGUCUCGCCUUUGCGUGUAGACUCGCCUUAAAAUAAUUGGCAGCCGGCGUAUUGAUUUCGGAGCGCAGUACAUCUCGCGCUUUGCACUCAUAACGACAGCGUCCAAAGUACAUUUUACACUCUUGACCUCGGAUCAGGUAGGGAUACCCGCUGAACUUAAGCAUAUCAAUAAGCGGAGGA
rnacentral:misc_RNA from 1 species